ensembl:lncRNA
UAUUAUCAGACAACAAAUAAUGAAUUAAACUCCACUGUGAAAGAUUCAUGUCACUGAAAUUAUAAUUAUCGAUGUGUUUGUUUUUUUUCCAUUUGUCUCCUCUUUUCUCUUCUCCUGUGGCUGGGAGCCGGUGGGGCUGCACAUGUCGUCAGCUCUGGUUUGCAUUAUGCAGGUCUGAAUGCAGAGAGUUUGAUUAAUGGCUGGAGUCAGAGGGGACAGACACAGGAGCUCAGAGGGAGUUGCACACAACAGCAUACUGCACACAGCACUACAGUACAGCUCCGCCGAUACGACAACAACUACAUCAUCCUUCCUCAUGUACUCUGGGACUGUAAUGUUCCCAGAGGGCAUCACUGUCUUGUGGGAGCUGGCAAACUGGCAGAGGACACCAGCUUCCUGUGCCUGUAUAUCCAUGCUCGGCUUUUCUCUGUUGUACCGCUGCCUCAUUGUACUGUACACUCUGAACUAGACAGAUUAUCUCUGACAAGGGAGUGAUCUAGACAGAUUAUUGCUUUUUUUCCCUACUGCUGGCCGUAGCGACUCCUGACUGACCCAGUCAUCAAUAUUUACUCUCUCGAGGGAGGUGAACAAAAGCAUCGGCUCGGGUUCGUACAAAAACGAGAUAUUCAGUUCUUAUACAUUCAGGUCAGUGAUCAUUUUAGCUUGGGCUGGAAGGAUAAAGCUGAAUCUGUAACAAAUGCACCCUGUACUCUUGCUCAGAGCAAAAGGCCACUAAAUCAAUCGAGAUUAAUAUUUCAAAGGUCAUGAUCUUGUCAGAAAAUGCAUAACAGGAAAUCCUUGUUUCUUGUACCUAGAUUUUGACGUUAUUAGCGAGUGCUAUUAAUGUCUCAUGUGUAGUUUUGCCAGUACUGUGGAAGAGACCUAUGUGUUAUUUUAUAGGGAUUAAGGAAAGGACUUUGAUUAAGGAAGAGAUACAUCAAUGGAACGCUGAAACAUCCUUUUAAAUCGAGGGAAGAAAAUAAAAAGGGGAACUCGAGCGGAGAUGCUUAGUGU